AGGGGUAUAGUUCAAUGGUAGAGCGGCGGUCUCCAAAACCGUUGAUGGGGGUUCGAAUCCCUCUGCCCCUG
rnacentral:tRNA from 1 species